UGCCUGGUGGCUGAGAUGGUUAAGAAUCUGCCUGCAAUGCAGGAGACCCAGGUUUGAUCCCUGGAUGGGAAG
rfam:TPA: Bos taurus chromosome 7, whole genome shotgun sequence.